UAUAACAUGUCUUACCUUUGCCUCCUGAAUUAGCCAUUGACACAAAAGCAAUCCCUUUUACCCAUAAUCGUCAUUUGGUAAAUAAAUCUCUCUUUCAAUGGGAUGAUCAGGGAUAAAUUUUGAUUGUCAUUUCUACGUUUGGGUAAAAAGGGUAGAAAUUAUUAGAUGGGUAAUACCGGAAGCAAUGGUGUGCAUGGACGACGAAGAUAUAACACCUUACGUAGGAGCCACCCUCCUCAUCAACCGGAGAUCACCAGUAACACGUAUGUAUUUAUAGCAACGACACAAUAUCCAUAUCAGCCAAAUUAUAAUACGACACCGUAUUAUCAGUACCCCGGUUAUUAUCCACCGCCACCACCGAUAAUGCCGUUGUCGUACGACCACCGGAUGGACUCCACUUAUGCAAAUUCGGGUAAUGGGAGGUAUCCAUGUGGACCUGUGGUACCUCAGCAUGCACCGUAUGUGGAGCAUCAAAAAGCAGUGACAGUACGUAAUGAUGUUAAUUUGAAGAAGGAGAGUUUAAGGAUAGAGGCUGAUGAGAAUAACCCUGGAAAGUACCUGGUCGCUUUCGAUUUCGAUGCCACUGUACCAGGAAGCAUGACAGUCAUUUUCUUUGCAAAAGAAGGUGAAGAUUGUUGCCUGACUCCUACAAAGAAAAGUUUACUUCCACCAAUAACCAUUAAAUUUCAAAAAGGUUUAUCUCAGAAAUUUAGACAAUCCUCUGGAACUGGCAUUGAUCUUUCCAUUUUUGAAGAGGCAGAAUUGCCAAAAGACGUUGAUGCAGAUGUAUAUCAGCUUGCGGUAAAGGCGGAGGCAUUCCAAGACGCGCAAAGUGUAUCAGAGGAUGGAAAUGCGGUGUCUGUGUCCACAAAUUCCCAGAUUACUAUAGCAGUUUUCGAAAAGGACAAAGGCGAAUUCAGAAUUAGGGUGGUGAAGCAAAUCCUGUGGAUCAAUGGCAUGAGGUAUGAAUUGCAAGAGAUUUAUGGCAUUGGAAAUUCAGUUGAUAAGGACUUUGAUGGAAAUGAUAACGGGAAAGAGUGUGUUGUAUGCCUUUCUGAACCUCGGGACACUACUGUACUUCCAUGUCGACACAUGUGCAUGUGCAGCGGAUGUGCAAAAGUUUUGAGGUUCCAGACAAACCGGUGUCCUAUUUGCCGUCAGCCAGUUGAGCGAUUCUUGGAAAUUAAGGUCAGUGAAGCUGCUGAAGAUUAAGAAAGGGAGAGUCAUGACUAGGAGCGAAGACAGAAUAUUUUUCAAGGGGAGUCAGAAUGUAACCACACGAAGAAUUUAAGGGGAUUUAAAGUGUACAUUGGUAAAUUAUAAAAAAUAAAAAAAAGAAUUACCUAUCUAAACAGUGUAACUUUCCAACGAAGGCGUGUCAAUUAGACAAGGUAGCUCCGCCACUGGUCGCGACAACCACCCUUGGCCUCUGCUUCAUGAAUCAGAAUAACCCGAAAGCAAGCCCCUCAAAACUACCCACUGACUGAAAACGAUGGAGUUUUCAACAAGUCAAGAAAAGCUGGGGAAAGACCAAUCCAUGGAGUUAAAUAUUGUAAUGUGUAUUUGUUGCCAUACUUUUGAGUUUUCAGAAAAUAAAUGAGCAUCACCAGAUUGUUCAUAUGUAAAAACACAAAAUUAGGGUUACCAUAAGGAGGCAGAUGGCAAUUGUUGAUUUUGAACUGUAUGAAAUUAAACAAAACGAUAAA